rnacentral:rRNA from 1 species
CACGUAGGGGGCGAGCGUUGUCCGGAUUUAUUGGGCGUAAAGAGCUCGUAGGCGGCUCAGUAAGUCGGGUGUGAAAACUCCAGGCUCAACCUGGAGACGCCACCUGAUACUGCUGUGGCUAGAGUGUGGUAGGGGAGACUGGAAUUCCUGGUGUAGCGGUGAAAUGCGCAGAUAUCAGGAGGAACACCGAUGGCGAAGGCAGGUCUCUGGGCCACUACUGACGCUGAGAAGCGAAAGCAUGGGGAGCGAACAGG